UACGGAGGGAGCUAGCGUUGUUCGGAAUUACUGGGCGUAAAGCGCACGUAGGCGGCUUUGUAAGUUAGAGGUGAAAGCCCGGAGCUCAACUCCGGAAUUGCCUUUAAGACUGCAUCGCUUGAAUCCAGGAGAGGUGAGUGGAAUUCCGAGUGUAGAGGUGAAAUUCGUAGAUAUUCGGAAGAACACCAGUGGCGAAGGCGGCUCACUGGACUGGUAUUGACGCUGAGGUGCGAAAGCCAGGGGAGCAAACGGG
rnacentral:rRNA from 1 species